GUCUAUGGCCAUCCCACCCUGAUCCUGAAAGCUGGGCAGAGUCAGGUCUGGCCAGUAGUUUGAUCAUAGACUGCCUGGGAAUACUGGGUGCUAUUGGUU
ensembl:rRNA 5S_rRNA 5S ribosomal RNA